UCCCUUAUCGAGGAUCCAUUGGAGGGCAAGUCUGGUGCCAGCAGCCGCGGUAAUUCCAGCUCCAAUAGCGUAUAUUAAAGUUGUUGCAGUUAAAACGCUCGUAGUCGGACCUCGGAGCSCCCCCACGGGCCGGGCUUUUGCCUUGUUGCCAGUGGGAGUUUGUCUCCUCUUGUCGGGACGCGGUGUGUGGGGACUUUACUGUCUCUGCGCGUUUACCUGCGGGCCGACCGUUUACUGUGAAGAAAGUAAAGUGUUCAAAGCAGGCCAUUGCCUUGAAUAUGUGAGCAUGGAAUAAUAGAAUAGGACUKGGGCUCUAUUUKGUUGGGUUUCCAGUGACCAAGUAAUGAUUAAUAGGGACGGUUGGGGGCAUYCGUAUUUCAUUGKCAGAGGUGAAAUUCUUGGAUUGAUGGAAGACGUACAACUGCGAAAGCAUCUGCCAUGGAUGUUUUCAUUGAUCAAGAACGAAAGUUAGGGGAUCGAAGACGAUCAGA
rnacentral:rRNA from 1 species